rnacentral:rRNA from 1 species
GACGUAGGUGGCAAGCGUUACUCGGAAUUACUAGGCGUAAAGCGAAUGUAGGCGGAAAUUUAAGUCUGUUGUGUAAUCUCCGGGCUCAACCCGGAAACUGCAACGGAAACUGGGUUUCUUGAGUGAGGCAGAGGAAGACGGAAUUCCUGGUGUAGCAGUGAAAUGCGUAGAUAUCAGGAGGAACACCGGUGGCGAAGGCGGUCUUCUGGGCCUUUACUGACGCUAAAGUUCGAAAGCUAGGGGAG